CACCCCGGUUCGCAGCCUGCCUCAAAUCACAACCUCAUCCAAAUCGACCUACCCUACUUCCACCCCGGCCACCUCGCCGCCGAGCACCUUCCGCUGUGGCCGACCACCAUUCGCCACCCCAAGCAUCCCACCGCAGUGCCUCCCCGACUAUUGUCGCCGGCCACCCUUCGCCUCUUCGUCCCAAACUAUCUGCACAAGGACGGGAAGGGAGGGAGACCCGAUGGGCGGAGGAGGUCGAAGCCGUUGCCCACACCGCGGAUCUGCCGCGGGGAUGCGGGAAGAAAGGACGCGGUUGCGCGGCCCCCGGAUCCGGCGAAGGACGUGCGCAAGAGGCGGCCAACGGGGCGCGGGGCACAACUCCAGAUCCGGGCGGCCCGAGCAGAGCGUGAAGCUAGGAAGCGGGCAUAUGCUUUGGGUGGCCGCCUUCGGUGCAGCCGGCGGCAACGGCAUGGCUGUAGUUUGGCGGCUAGGUUUGGGUGCCCCAGUGUCACCCCUGCAAGUGACAGGAAGUGAGCGACCAGGAACCAGAAGAUGCCGGCAGUCUGUGAAGAAGUUUUUGAGUGGCUGUCUGCUCGGAGCUACCGGAAGAACAGGCUAGCUGCCAACGCACAAAGACCAAGGCGGAGAAUGAAGGUAGAAGCUAGACAGAAUACCCGAGGAAGGUCGACCUCGAGACUUACUUGAGCCACGAGAAUAUUUCCCUUGAGUUCGAGAGGAUGUUCAGUUGCUUCAUCACUUAGCGUUAUUGAUUAUGUACAACAAGUUGUGUCUCAAGCUUGUAAGUUCUGUUACAAGGAUGAGAUUGUUAGAAUGCUACAAAACUUCUACGUGAUAGCAGUUGUACCAGUCAACUAGGAUGUCUACAUGAUGUUUCUUGUAUUCAUGGCAGCAACAAAAUCUUGUGGCGCAAGGUUAAGCUCUGAUCUUCAAAAGCAUUGCAAGCUUGGUGAUUCUUCUGCGGGAGACAUGUGGUCCUGUUUAAAUUAUGCUGUUUCACAUGAUGGUGGCGAGUCUGUUAUUCACAAGACAUCUAAUGAAGUCAUCCAAUAAAAAGGUUCCGAACAAACAAUUUGUCUUCCUAGACAUGGCUGUAGCUGCGUGUCAAGCUCAAACCAUUUGUUUAGCUUAGUUUGAACAAAAGAAAUCUUAUUGUCUAUGUAAAUUCUGUUUAUUGAUGUAGUUGGACGCUACUGAAUGCAUGUAUGGAUGUUGCAG
rnacentral:rRNA from 1 species